AGACAGUUAGUUUAAGAAAAACCUUUAAUUUCGGCUUAAAAACUUGUGGUUAAAGUCCAUGACUGUCUA
rnacentral:tRNA from 1 species